GAGUUUGAUCAUGGCUCAAAACGUACGCUGGCGGCACGCCUAACACAUGCAAGUCGAACGAAGUAGCAAUACUUAGUGGCAGACGGGUGAGUAACAUGUAGGUAUCUACCCUUUGGCCUGGAAUAACACGAGGAAACUUGUGCUAAUACUGGAUAAGUCUUUACGGAGAAAGCUUUAUGCACCAUUGGAUGAGCCUGCACUUGAUUAGUUUGUUGGUGGGGUAAUGGCCUACCAAGACUGUGAUCAAUAGCUGAUUUGAGAGGAUGAUCAGCCACAUUGGGACUGAGACACGGCCCAAACUCCUACGGGAGGCAGCAGUGGGGAAUCUUGCACAAUGGAGGAAACUCUGAUGCAGCGAUGCCGCGUGAGUGAAGAAGGCCCUUGGGUUGUAAAGCUCUUUCGUCGGGGAAGAAAAUGACUGUACCCGAAUAAGAAGGUCCGGCUAACUUCGUGCCAGCAGCCGCGGUAAUACGAAGGGACCUAGCGUAGUUCGGAAUUACUGGGCUUAAAGAGUUCGUAGGUGGUUGAAAAAGUUGGUGGUGAAAUCCCAGAGCUUAACUCUGGAACUGCCAUCAAAACUUUUCAGCUAGAGUAUGAUAGAGGAAAGCAGAAUUUCUAGUGUAGAGGUGAAAUUCGUAGAUAUUAGAAAGAAUACCAAUUGCGAAGGCAGCUUUCUGGAUCAUUACUGACACUGAGGAACGAAAGCAUGGGUAGCGAAGAGGAUUAGAUACCCUCGUAGUCCAUGCCGUAAACGAUGUGUGUUAGACGUUGGAAAUUUAUUUUCAGUGUCGCAGCGAAAGCGAUAAACACACCGCCUGGGGAGUACGACCGCAAGGUUAAAACUCAAAUGAAUUGACGGGGACCCGCACAAGUAGUGGAGCAUGUGGUUUAAUUCGAAGAUACGCGCAGAACCUUACCAACACUUGACAUGUUCGUCGCGACUUUAAGAGAUUAAAGUUUUCGGUUCGGCCGGACGAAACACAGGUGCUGCAUGGCUGUCGUCAGCUCGUGUCGUGAGAUGUUGGGUUAAGUCCCGCAACGAGCGCAACCCUCACUUUUAGUUGCCAUCAUUUAGUUGGGCACUCUGAAAGAACUGCCAGUGAUAAGCUGGAGGAAGGUGGGGAUGACGUCAAGUCCUCAUGGCCCUUACGUGUUGGGCUACACACGUGCUACAAUGGUAUCUACAACAGGAAGCAAGACGGCGACGUUAAGCAAAUCCUUAAAAGAUACCUCAGUUCGGAUUGCACUCUGCAACUCGAGUGCAUGAAGCUGGAAUUACUAGUAAUCGUGGAUCAGCGUGCCACGGUGAAUGCGUUCCCGGGUCUUGUACACACCGCCCGUCACACCAUGGGAGUUGGUUCUACCUUAAGGCAAGGUUUAAAACCCUUGACCACGGUAUAGUCAGCGACUGGGGUGAAGUCGUAACAAGGUAACC
rnacentral:rRNA from 1 species